rnacentral:rRNA from 1 species
AUUGAACGCUGGCGGCAGGCCUAACACAUGCAAGUCGAACGAGUGGCGGACGGGUGAGUAAUGUCUGGGAAACUGCCCGAUGGAGGGGGCUACCUACUGGAAACGGUAGCUAAUACCGCAUACCAUCGGAUGUGCCCAGCUGGGAUUAGCUAGUCGGUGGGGUAACGGCUCACCUAGGCGACGAUCCCUAGCUUGUCUGAGAGGAUGACCAGCCACACUGGAAAUGAGACACGGUCCAGACUCAGACGGGAGGCAGCAGUGGGGAAUAUGGCACAAUGGGCGCAAGCCUGAUGCAGCCAUGCCGCGUGUAUGAAGAAGGCAUUCGGGUUGUAAAGUACUUUAAGCGAGGAGGCGUUACUCGCAGAAGAAGCACCGGCUAACUCCGUGCCAGCAGCCGCGGUAAUUC